rnacentral:lncRNA from 1 species
AAACCACUUUUUUUCAGUAUUAGCUGAACCAGAGAACACCAAAUUCUUUUAUUUGGGGUUAAACUUAUGUUUUGUUUCAUUUGGGGUGAGAUACUGAUUUCCUAUUUUUCUCUUUAAAAUAGCAUAACAUCAGCAUUGACACAGAGAUGUCGUUUCAACUGAAAAAGCAAAACAACAAAGACCAAAAUUCUCUUCUGGCAUAGAAUCUGUUGCUGUCGGCUGUGACAUGCAGCCCAAUGUGGGAUCUUGCCAGCUGUGCUAGAUGCCCCUUGGGAUGAGUUUCAUCCAUUUGACCAGAGAGCAGAAACAUCCCAGGUGAUGGGGCUUGACAGAGGCUUAAAGUGACCUCCUGCCUCCGAGGCUUCUCGGUGCCAUGCAGACGUAUGCAGCGUACACUGUGCAAUGUAAGUCAACCCUGUUCCAGCCACAGUCUUGGCUUCUGUCUCAUUUGUCCUUUCCUCUAUCUCUUAUAGAGGACAGGGGGGACAUGUAUGUUGAAUUAUG